rnacentral:lncRNA from 1 species
CUCUCAAGAAACUUGACCAAAGAAGCACGUCUAGCUAUAGCCGAAUCUCUCAUCAUUUUCUCUAUUUCUGCACUGCUUGGCUCUUUUCCCCAUCGUGAGGUAGCGGCUGUUGUCUCAGCAAGGGUCCCUGCAACUAAAGGCUGCUUAGCUGCUUCGGAAUAUGAAAUAAUAGAUGUCGCUGCUUUCUGCCUUGCUCGUUCUUCGUCGUCCUGUUGGACUGCUACACGUUUCUCUACUUCUACCAGUGCAUAUGAAAUACCAGGUGGCAAGAAGUCAUUACCCCUGUAAAAGACAAUAUAGUCCUUGUUCCUGGAAAGUAAUGUUCCUCCAGUUAAUAUCUGCAUUAAUGACAUAGGAUUAAUCAAUGCCGAGAACGCUGUUAAGCUAAAUAAUGAUGUUUUGGGAUUAUGUUGGGAAAAAGUGACAUUCAUUCAAAUAUAUAAUUUUCACAAUUAUUAGUUUUUUGAACAUUGUUGUUUGGUUCUUUCUUUGGAAGGUUAUUUUUGAAAUGUAGGCGGGGCAGUUGGAUAAAAAUUAGUAAUUAACAUAACCCGAAAGCAACUAGUACAUGAUCUAUUUCAAACCUUAAGUUCUUCCGCCAUCCUUUCAUUCAAAGUAUUUUGUACACCGCGUUUGAUGGCUAUCUUUGCAAUAGCACUCUUCUUCCAUAACUUCACCAUGGCCAUAGCAAGACCUUGCAAUUCUCUGUUUCUUCCUAGAUCAUUAAGCAAAUAUAGCUAAUAAAAAACAAAAAUCUGAAUAUUAAAUAAAUUCACAUAUCAUGUUGAGCAUACCGAGGGCAAAAUGUGGAAGCAUUUUUCUGGCAGUUCUGCGAAAAUAUGUCAUUUCUUUGUUCCGUAAUGCUUGUCUAACCCCAUUGGGAAGUAGUCUAAAUGGGGGUCUAUAUCCUGGAACGACAGCAGGCAGCAAGUCUGCAUCAACAGGCAGCGGUUCCGGACCUGACCAAUCUAUGAACCUUGGACCAAGCUCGUCUAAAAGAAGGUUGAGCUCACUUAGAUCCAUUAGCUCCUCUUCAGAUAGACCAUUCAAAUACUUAGAAGUAUAAUUUUGAGAUGAUUCUGCAGCUCCAGAUAACAGUUUCACGUUACCGCAUUGAGUAACAUCAUUAACAGAAUCUGACGAAGAUCUAGCCUCAAUAUCAGCUUGAAUACGUUUACUAUAUGCUUGCACACAAUCAAGUUGGUAAGACAUUCCUCUGUAUAGAACUACCGAACUUCCUGAUCUCCAUAUAACCAAACCUCCAGUUCUAGCCUAACAAUUAAACAGCACAAUAUAUGGAAGAAGAAAUACACUUCAUCAUGAAUUCUUGUAAACCGUGAUACAAAUAAAUCGUAAAAUUGAAAUUUGAAGAGAAACUACAAUGGUAAGAAUGUAAUGAACAAAGAAAUAGUUUAAUGCUCACGAAAUUAGCAAUUCAACUUGAAGGCAGCAUUUACCCACUAGUACAAUAAACAUUUAUUACAAUUGGCAGUUAAAUCAUUCUUCUCUACUAAAAAACUUAAGAUAAGUGGACACUUACCUCAAGAAUCUCAUGUGUCCUCUUCAUGUUCUUUGAAGGAGGCCCUUCAAAUUUCAAUUUUACGAUUUCCUCGUCCUUCCAUUUCGCGUGGAUUGCAUCGGUUAAUGCUUGUGUUAUUCCCGCUGCCCCGACUUUCAUUCUCUCUACCAUCCUCAAUGCCACAUUUCUAAGCCUCUUCAGUUCAGGUUCCGGUAUCAAUUUUUCUGCCAACUCUGUAUUACUCUUCCUUAACUUCUCCUCUUUCACAGGGUCCUCAUUAGUUCCUCUCUGCCAUGGUAAUCUCAUAGAAUCACUAACAUCAUCUGAUCCUUUUUUACUGCUGAAUUCUUGAGAAAUGCUCCGUGAAUCCUCCACAAAAAAGGCAUCUUCACUCUCGUCUUCAAUCAAAAUCUCAUAUUUUUCUGAUAAUCCUAUAGGGAUAGUAUCAACCUUGCCACUUGUUUCAUCACAAUUGCAAUCUAAUUUAACUCCCUUUAUCAAAUCCCCAGAGUCUUCAACAACACUACCAAAAGCUUCAUCAUUUUUACAAUGCUCAGAAAACCCAUCAAGGUUUUGCCCUCUAUGAUUACUUUCUUCUUGAAUUUUUUCUGUAGCUUGAGAAUCAGGCAAGUCCUUCCUUGGUUUAUUUCCAUGAACCCAAGGAGCUAAAAUCGACUUAUUUCUUGAACUAGAGCUCGCAGAGCUAUCCCCAGAAGUAUUGUCCUCACUUACUGUCACAGUAACGACACCCUCAGAUAACGGCAGCAGAUGUUCUUCAUAAUCCUGAAUCGAAUCAUCACUCUCUUGUUUAUGUUCUUCCCAAGGGAAUUUCUCUCUUAAAGAAGGGAUUUUGAGGGACCAUUUAUCUUGAAUUUUUUCAAUAAAGCUUGGCCUGGGUUUUCUCUUCUUCUUUACAGGGUUGGUUUCGUGUUGAACGGAUUUUGUGCAAGAAAUUUUCAAUUUUUGACCUCGAAAUCUGUUUGAACAAUGGGGUUGUGAGUGAAAUGUGAUCAAGUAGAAAGAUUGAGAAGAAUAUGAAGAUGAAGCAGAGAACAAAUUCGAAGGCAGGGGUGAAGGAGCCAUGGUGAUGAGGUUGAAGAAUCUCUGCGAGAACGAGCCUUAAAAAGAUGGCCUGAAAAUUUCUGACUAACCCAAAUUGCCAAUGAAAAUGGGUUUAGGAAUUUUACAUAAAUAGCAUUAAAUGUGGGAAACUAUGAUCGCUUGGCAUCUUAAUAGUUAAUAGAAUAGAACUAAUGAAUAGCUCAAGCACUUUACCUUAAAAAUUUUAAAUUAUCUAAUAGGGAUGGGAAAAUAUUUCGCGACCGCCCGAUAUUACAGUGUCCUAUCUCGAACAGAAGGAAAUUUCUACUUCAUUAGAAGAUCAUGGGAAUGAAGAACAUGGUCCCUGUCCCAAAUUUCUUAUACAUUCCUAAAUCUUAUAAUUUUAGAAAAUAUUAAAAAAAUAAUUAAACAACAUAUUAAAUGGAGAUAUUAUAAUUCACGCUCCUCUCUUCUUCUCUCGAUAAUCUUGUCAAAGCGGUCUCAUUUGCUUGACCUUAUACCUUCAAUUUUUUAUUUUUUAAGACAAUAUCAAACACACCUCUCGAACUUUUACGCGCAAUCACUUUUACUCAUACCUCAUAUAAGUUGGGUUUAUUAUCAAGUAAAGAAGAAAUUUUCUACAAUUCGUGCAGUUAUGGUUAAUUCGUUCAAAGUAAACUAUGUAAAUAUAAAUUGACAUAUAGUAAAUAGAAUUCGUUUGACGUUGUUUAAAUUUAACUAUAUGUAAUUUUUUAUUUUUUAAGACAAUAUCAAACACACCUCUCGAACUUUUACGCGCAAUCACUUUUACUCAUACCUCAUAUAAGUUGGGUUUAUUAUCAAGUAAAGAAGAAAUUUUCUACAAUUCGUGCAGUUAUGGUUAAUUCGUUCAAAGUAAACUAUGUAAAUAUAAAUUGACAUAUAGUAAAUAGAAUUCGUUUGACGUUGUUUAAAUUUAACUAUAUGUAUUUAGUUAUUUUGUUUAUAGGUAGGAUUACUUUUGUGAACAUUUAUGUUUAGACAUAUAUCAAAUUUAAUUUGACAAAUUAGUUAUUUACGAGUAUAAAUAAAUAUCAAAUAAUAAAAAAUGAUAUUAUGAUAUUCUUUUGAAAUAUUUUAAUGAUUAAUAUAUUAAAAUUCGACUGUAUAACAAUGUCAUCAUUAAAUAAUAAAUUCUGAGGGUAUGCAAUGAUUUAAUGAAUUAAUGUAUACUAUAUUUUAAUUAAAUUUUACUUGAAUUGAUUCAAAAUAAUAUGUUUAGUAGACAAAUAAGUGUACUUCAAGAUAUAUUUUUCUUCUAGGUGGAGGAGUUGUAUCUUCGAGAACUAGUAAGAAGUUAUAAUUGCAUCUACUACAAUGAAGGUAGAACUAAUUGGUUUCUAUAAAGCUACAACACUCACAUUAUUGUUGGGAAAUUUCAUCAAAGCGUUAAACGUUGUUGAUACUAUAGGGAAGCCUUUGAAGAUUUAUUGCGAUAGUUCGAUUGUACUUUUCUUUUCAAAAAAUAAUAAAAGUAGAAGUCGAAGUAAAAAUAUCACUAUAAAAUAUCUGGUUGUUAGAGAUCAUAAAAUGAAAAAUAAAGUGAUCAAUGAGCAUAUCAAGAAAGAUUUUGUGAUAGCAGAUCACGUGACUAAAGGCUUGUCAGAUAAAGUUCAUGAAUAGCUUGUUGAGAACAUGAGAUUUGCUUGCACUAUCAUGGUACUCUAAUUUUUUGUGUUUAAGAUUGUUUUUUCUAUGUUUUAAACGAUGUUAUUGGUGCAAAGUUUAUGAUCGAUAUUCAAUUGUGAUCCCCCCCCCCCCCCCCCCGGGGUCGUUAUCGACCUUAAGAAUGACUUUUCAACAAAUCUUACAUUUCAUAUUUCUAUAUACCGUGACUCUAAAAAAGAAACGAAGGCUAUUAACUAAUGGUUUAACUCUCUUCUGGUUAAUGAAAUAAAACCAAUGUGCUCUAGCAUUCUAUGAACAUGACAAGAAUAUCUUUAGUUAGAAACCAAGAAGCAAUAUGCUUUCAGUUGCAUCGAUCUAUUUACAGGUCCGACUAUCAAUUAUUGAAACAAGAGGAUCCAUGAAAGAUACCGGUAUACAACUUAUAUGACAGUGGAGAAGCUGAUGAGCGAAGAUCUUUAUGUAUAUGAGAUCCUGACCAUCAAUUCCAUGCCAGGUGAAACACCUUGAGUACUCCUCUAGUUGGCUAAGAUUCUUGAUCUUCCUCAGUCAGCAAAUAUUUCAACCCUCUUGCUAAGGGACGAGUUAUUUUCAUGCGCUGCUGUCCUUACUGCUGUAAUUUGUGUGAAGGUACGCCCUUUGAUCUUCAUCCUACAUAGCAUGAAAAAGAAUUAACAGCAGACAAAAGACUGAUGCCUUGAAACUACAAAAGCGAAAAGAUUGACCGUCAUGUUUCAUAUAAAAGGGAUAGCACUAAAGUGAUAAAGAAGACCGAAUUUCGUCUCACCCCUUCCAUAUCCUCAUCAGACGCAUUAUUUAUUCUUGAGUACAAGGUCACUUCAUCAAUUUCACUUACGGUCUUCAUAUUUUCCUGUUAUUACGUCAUGAGUAAUUAAGGAUUAGAUGUUUUGGACCAAGGGUAAGCUUAAAGCGAUAAAAUAUUCAUUAAAGAGCAAUCAUACUAGCUCAAGCUUUAGCUUCUCCAUUUUCUCUUGCAGGUCUGAAAUAUGGUGCUUUAGUCCCUGAAAAUUUUUAAACAGAGUUUUGUAAUCAAUAUUAAUAUAUUCAAUAACGAGCCUGAAAAAAAUGAAAAGUCGAACUGUAAAAACGAGUAAAAGUCAUAAGAUCACCUCACGUCUCUGAAGUUCAAUCGAGCGGGCUAAUGCCUGCCUUUUUGUCAGAAGAUUUUUGGGCCUAAAUGCACUAGGGCGUUGGUAAUUCUUUCCACGAUAGACUAUCACAGCAUAGCCCUUGGCAGUUUUGUCUACGGAAACUAACACCCCACCACUCUCAGCCUCAAGAGAAACUGCAAUAUGCUUGACUUGUGAAAAUGUUUUUCGGUCUACAAGUAUCUUUACCAACUCUCGAUACUUCCAAUGUAAGUGCAUAUUUUCUAUAGUGCCAUCAAAAACUUCUCGCCUCCCUACAGUCAAAAGAUAACAAUAAGCCCAGUUCUGUACCCCAUUAAUCUAAUAUAUUACACGGGAUGAAAUUCUUACCUAGAAGCAAAUAAGGUUUCAUGCUCAGACCAAUCUUACGAAACAAAAACCUCUCCUCGUCACUUAAGGUUUCUAAAUCAGUUGGUAGCUCCGAGGGUUCCAGACUUCCCUGUAGUUUCAUUAAAGCCUUCUCAGCCUUUCUGAUCUUCCCGCUUGCCUGCAGGCACAUUAGAGUAUAUGGUAGUAAAAAAUGUAAGUUCUAAACAAGUUCUUUCAAGAAAAUGCUUAAAUAUCACAGCUCACAAGGGCUAGCUUCCUCUCAAGAAACUUGACCAAAGAAGCACGUCUAGCUAUAGCCGAAUCUCUCAUCAUUUUCUCUAUUUCUGCACUGCUUGGCUCUUUUCCCCAUCGUGAGGUAGCGGCUGUUGUCUCAGCAAGGGUCCCUGCAACUAAAGGCUGCUUAGCUGCUUCGGAAUAUGAAAUAAUAGAUGUCGCUGCUUUCUGCCUUGCUCGUU